rnacentral:lncRNA from 1 species
UGCCGACAGCACUUGCCGAAUCAUAUCCUGUUCUAACCAGAAAGUAAUGAAAAACAUAUAUCCUGUUCUAAACAAAAAUAUUGAAAAAACAUACCCUGUUCUAUACACGCUCAAAAAAUGUAUACCUUGUUCUAGACCGUAUAAAAUAGAUGCAGUUCUAGACCUGGGCUCUAUACUGUAUCUUAAACAGUUAUAUACGCGAUCCUGUUCCAGACAAAUACUUUGUUUAAAAAAAGACCUUGUUCUCACCAGCAAGGCAUGAAAGGACGACCCUGUUCUAACCAGCAGGACAUGAAAAGGGAGACUGUUCUAACAAACAGGGCAUGAAAAAGUUACCCUGUUUUGCGGCACACUCAUACCACUAAAAAAAUAGGAAGUAACCCCCCUUGCAACAACACCGACAAGGAC